UGAGUUCUCAUAAGAGCCGUUGGUUUUAUACGGGGCUUCCGCCUUCACUCAGCGCUCAUUUUCUCUCCUGCUGCCCUGUGAAGAGGUGCCCAUCCCUGAGAUUGUAAGUUUCCUGAGGCCUCCUCAGCCACGCAGACUGUCUGUUAGGGGAACACGGAAAGCAUCCUCAUGCCCCCUGGGUGUUCUUGUUUCUGGAUUUGUAACUCGGCUUUCAGAGUCUUCCUACUACUUCUCUCAGCAGCUAUAAGAAGCAAGCCCUUGUCCUGCUCCUUGUCACCCAGUUGGAAGACUCCUGACUUAGGCGGGGAGAAAAAAGAGCCUUUGUCACCAAUAUUCUACUCUUUGAUUCUAUGAAUUUGACCAUUUGAGACACUUCAUGUGCCUAACACUUUACUCUGGAGGAAAAGUUGGCUGUCAAGAUGAGGCCGUGGCCACACAUUUUUUAACUUGCUUCAAUCUGGAUUGCUUACUUGCUGUAUUUAGUACACAUAAAUAUUUAAGGAAUAUUGAUUGGAAAGGCCAUUGAAUGACAACUGUUCUCAGAGUGCCUGAAUCUCUUAUGCUGGCCACGGCUCCCUUGACCCUCAGAGCAAGUUCUGCCACCACAUUAUCUCCAAAAGCUGUGUUCAGGAAUUUGUCCAGCUUCCCAGCUGUAUAUGUUCAUUGUGAAGGAUACAGAAAACACACAAAGAUGGUGACAUCAAUCUCUGUUUAUUCAAGGCUUCCUUCAUCUGUCAGCAAUGUUUUAACUCCACAGGCAGAAGGAGAGGCUUGAGUGAGCAGAGGUGGCAGAUGACUUCACGCAGAGGCCUGCAGGUUACUCUCAGGAGCUCUCCCGCAGUCUAGCCCUCAGCCUUGAAAUGAUAGGCGCUUGGUUUUGUUAAUAUGCCAAGAAUGGGUCUGUCACUCAGGAAAAAAACAAAACAGGCAUAGAGCCAGAAGAGCAAAGAAAGCAGCAAAGAGGUCCAUCCACUUAUGAGAGAACUGAAUAAAUAGCCAGAAGACAGAAAACAAGGGAAAUAAAUGAUGACAAAGUAGAGAAAGAGACAGACCAACUACACGAAGAAGUUUGCUUCCAAGAAAUCCUUCUCCAGUGACCAGAGGAAUGACCAACUCCCCACCUUCUCACUGUCCAGCAGUCCCUGCUAACCCACAGGUAUGUGCUGAUGCCAGUUCACCUACUUCCUCACCUGUGAGCACAGGUCACAAAGAGGGAAGAUGUUGAGGAAGAUUUGAAGCCUGAAGGACAGAGGGGGACAGCACAUUAGGAAUUCUAGUGAGUAAGUUUAAAUUCCUCACUUUCUCAGAGUGAAGUUAACAAACUCUGUGUGUGUUCUGCAUACAAGUCCUUUGAA
rnacentral:lncRNA from 1 species